UGGAAGUAAAAGUCGUAACAAGGUCUCCGUUGGUGAACCAGCGGAGGGAUCAUUACAGAGUUCUAAAAGACUCCCAAAACCAUUGUGAACGUACCCGUCAGCGUUGCCUCGGCGGGCGGCCCCUCCCUGGGGCCGCUGCCUCCCUCGGGGGGUGCCCGCCGGCGUACCAAAACUCUUUUGUAUUUUAGUGGCCUCUCUGAGAAAACAAGCAAAUAAGUUAAAACUUUCAACAACGGAUCUCUUGGUUCUGGCAUCGAUGAAGAACGCAGCGAAAUGCGAUAAGUAAUGUGAAUUGCAGAAUUCAGUGAAUCAUCGAAUCUUUGAACGCACAUUGCGCCCGCCAGUACUCUGGCGGGCAUGCCUGUUCGAGCGUCAUUUCAACCCUCAAGCCCUGCUUGGUGUUGGGGUCCUACGGCUGCCGUAGGCCCUGAAAGCUAGUGGCGGGCUCGCUAUAACUCCGAGCGUAGUAGUAAAAUAUCUCGCUAGGGAGGUGUCGCGGGUUCCGGCCGUGAAAGCCCAUCUUUUACACAAGGUUGACCUCGGAUCAGGUAGGAAUACCCGCUGAACUUAAGCAUAUCAAUAAGCGGAGGA
rnacentral:misc_RNA from 1 species